rnacentral:lncRNA from 1 species
GAGAGGAGAUGAGAGGUUAAGAAGGAGCUAGCCACAGAGAUUUUAGGGUUAUAGAGAGAGUGGUGUUGAGGAGAGUGAGGUGAGGGUGGAGUAGUAAAGUGGUGGUGAACAGCAGAACAGGUAAAGAAGACUGAGUCUUAUUUAUUAUCCAGAGGAAUUAAUAAGUGAAUUAUUUUGGUUUUUUAGAGUAUAUUCACAUGUGACAUGUCAAAUAAUUUUGGAUCAGCUUCUUCCACUAUCC